GACGAACGCUGGCGGCGUGCCUAAUACAUGCAAGUCGAACGAGUGGCGGACGGGUGAGUAAUAUAUCGGAACGCGCCAAGUAGCGGGGGAUAACUACUCGCAAGAGGAGCUAAUACCGCACAAUAUUGGAGCGGCCGAUAUCGGAGUAGAUAGUUGGUGGGGUAAAGGCUCACAAAGGCAAAGAUCCGGAGCUGGUGUGAGAGGACGACCAGCCACACUGGAACUGAGACACGGCCCAGACUCCUACGGGAGGCAGCAGUGGGGAAUUUUGGACAAUGGGGGAAACCCUGAUCCAGCCAUCCCGCGUGUAUGAGAAGGCCUUAGGGUUGUAAAGUACUUUUGGCAGAGAAGCGGUAUCUGCAGAAUAAGCACCGGCUAACUCCGUGCCAGCAGCCGCGGUAAUAC
rnacentral:rRNA from 1 species